GAGCGGAUCACAGCUCCACAGAUGAAGACUUCUCCACGCUGCUUUCAAACUACCAGCAGCAGUUUCCAGGAGCUGGUGCUGGUGGAGAAGACGCGCCUCAGUGAGCAGAACUUCUCCGCCGUGCAGAAGUUUGUUGUGUUGGACCUGGGUUUGACUCUGCUGCCGGUCAGCGGGCAGACCGAGGCCUCGCAGCUCAUCAGUCAGAUCGUAUCUUAAUUCCUUGGAGGGUUUUAAA